rnacentral:rRNA from 1 species
UACGUAGGGGGCAAGCGUUGUCCGGAUUUAUUGGGCGUAAAGAGCGUGUAGGCGGUCAGGUAGGUCCGUUGUGAAAACUCGAGGCUCAACCUCGAGACGCCGAUGGAAACCAUCUGACUAGAGUCCGGAAGAGGAGAGUGGAAUUCCUGGUGUAGCGGUGAAAUGCGCAGAUAUUGGGAAGAACACCAGUGGCGAAGGCGGCUAACUGGUCCAGAUCUGACGCUGAGGUGCGAAAGCGUGGGGAGCAAACAGG